rnacentral:sRNA from 1 species
GUGACCAUUCUUGAAUAGGAUUAGUUCAAUCGUAUAACUCUGUAUUCUUGAGUUCUAACGAGACAAGAAUCUAUUUUGGUGGAUGAACCAUGGCUUCCACAGCAUCGACCAAUAUCGAUUGAUGGUGGUUGGUGUUGUGGAUGAUCGUUCUUAGUUGGCUAUGCUAGACCACCUGACAGACU